ensembl:snRNA U6 U6 spliceosomal RNA
GUGCUCAUUUUGACAACACAUACUAAAAUUAGAAUGAUAGAUAUUAGCAUGGUCUUUGCAUGAGGAUGACAAAUAAAUUCAUGAAGCAUUCCAUAUUUUU